rnacentral:antisense_RNA from 1 species
CCACCGUCUGGGACACCAGCUGGUCCAGGCACAGCCUUACCACAAUCCAGAGAAGGCCACCUCUAAUGGGGCCUGCAGGCAUUGUGUCCACGGGAGGAAAGGGCUGGGGGGCCCCUCUCCCCACUGCUGGGGCAGCUCCCUUGCCCUUCCCCAGCCUCAGGCACUCUCAUCAUCUCCUUUGGCCUCUUCUGGGGGCUCUUGGGGUUCAUCUCCAGGGUGGAAAACUUGGAGGGCCCCUCCUGGCAGAGUCAAGGAUGGGGUCAGGGAGACCCCAUCCCCUCAACCCUCAACCUUUGUUUCACCCACAGCCCCUCUGAAUCCUGGGAGCUGGCUCUUUCCACUUCCAGAGGGGGCCCUCAGGCCCACCCUGGCUGUCCCAGCGUGGCCCCCGCGGCUUCUGCGCUGCACCCUUCCCGUCCCUCCCUGCUCCUCAUGGUCACUAGUGCCUGCUUAUCCACUGGGUCAUCCCCUCGGCCAGGGCCCCUCCUGCCCUGGAAGCCCAGCAAGCGCCCACUCGUAGCUCCUCAGCGGGUCCUCGCCGGCCUGUGCCGGGUGCAGGGGCCAGUGGGAGGACAGCAGGAGCCCGGCAGGCCAUCAGCACAAGAGCAAAUGCACAUGGCAACGUUGGUCUGCUCAGCCACUGGUUCUGAGGUGGAACGGUGGAUGUCUGCACUGUGACAUCAGCUGAGUAUGAGAACUGCCGGUUGCGGCUUAUAAACAAGAUGAUGCCCUUGCGGUAGGCCAUGUGGGCGGUGAAGUUCAAGGCCAGCUGGAGGUGCACGGCUGUCUGUUCCAGGUCGAUGAUGUCGUGGUCCAGGCGGCUCCCAAAGAUGUACGGCUCCAUAAACCUGCCAGAGACCCCCCCAAGGCAAGGGGGAAGAGAGUUCACGGGGCCAUCUCCACUGGCCCCUUGCAGGAACACAGACGCCCACCAGGGACUCCCGGGCUCCUCUGUGGGGGCACUAUGGGCUGGGGAAGCACAAUUUGCAACACUCCCCGUGUGGAUGAACAGCAGUGCAGACCCAUCCAGGCCACCCCUCUGCACGCCUCGUCUCGUGGCUUAACCCCUCCAACCCUCUACGUCUUCCUGAAGGAAUCCUAAUGGAACUGACCCCAUA